AUUUCGCAUGGAGUGAAGCAUCUAUAAUGCUUCAGUAUAGCUAACGUGGGUUGGGCCGAGCGGGUGAGAGGUCAGUGUAAUCUGGUGUGUCCAGGUGAUUGGGUGUUGACCAGGUGAUUGGCUGGUCAAACUCGUUAAAAGGAAGAUCCUCGCGUAGCUGACUUCUUCUCUCGGCUUGACAAACUCCUGGAGUUCUUGGGGCCGUUCUUCUGAUGUGGGGGCUGAAGAAACUCCAUUAUGUACCUCCUGAAGACGGCAACUCCUAAUUAACUUGGAGCGUGUGGAUGGGAAGCUGGUCUACCCCUCGCUACACCAGGAUGCACCCAAAUUCUUACCCCGGGUAGCUGUUUACCGCUACAUUAACAAAGGAAUAGAUGCAGGCCCCAGACGCCUCGCUACACUCAUGGUACUGGACCUCUAAGUCUUCUCCGUGUAAAAGAAAUGUCAUUUAUUCUUGCUUAUUAGUUAAUGUAACUAAAACUAGCAGUAUGUCCUUGGUCUUCUUAAAACUUGUUUAGAUUUUUGGAAAGGUUUAUGAUAAAACAAAUUUUGUAAAAUUUAUACCAAAGAUUGGUACUUCUGUGCAUUAGUUUAAAGACGCUAAUUUUUUUUAAGGUUUGUUCAGUACUUGGUUACAAAUACAAAAGUAUAAAAUUUGAUUCUUGAAUAAAAGUGAAAUCUUCAGGCUUGAUUUUGAUUCUACUAAUGGAAAGAAUUUGGCCUAUUAUGCAUUUCGGAUAAUCGUGAAACUCUAGUGUUGACUAGUUUCUUUACUUACGAAAAUUAAAGAUUAAUUACACAAAUCUGCUUACUUUAUGGAACCAGUAUUCUAGAAAAUUAUACUAUGGACUCGCCAUAGCCCUUGCCACGUUGAAUUUUUGAUUCUUAAACAAUGAAACUAAAGUUAAUUAUAAAAUUAUAAAGGCCUAAAUGGGGAGGGGGGGGGGGCGGUUCUGGGGGACGAAUGCCCGGAGACUAAAGAUGUUUAAGACGAAAGCCUAGAUUCACUAAACGUCUACCACUUGCGGGGUACUCACUCCCGUGCAACCUCUUGGGGUAAAUAGACUUGAUAAUUCAUUAUAAACGCCCCGAGACCAUGCUACCUGUAGGUAUUGGUGGCCGGCCUCGUUCACAACUUAAAACUUUCAUACUUGAGUGUUUAGUGACACCGUUCAACCUGUCCUCUUGUAAACAUGUAUAGAGAUUUUUUAAAUUUUAUGCCAGUGUUAAAUAAAAAGCUUGAUACGUU